GUGCUCGCUUUGGCAACACAUAUACUACAAUUGGAACGAUACACAGAAGAUUAGCAUGGCCCCUGCACAAGGAUGACACCCGAAUUCAUGAAGCAUUCCAUAUUAAA
rnacentral:snRNA from 1 species